rnacentral:rRNA from 1 species
UAACGGCGAGUGAAGCGGUAACAGCUCAAAUUUGAAAUCUGGCCUCACGGUCCGAGUUGUAAUUUGUAGAGGAUGCUUCGAGCAUGGUCUGGCCUAAGUUCCUUGGAACAGGACGUCAUAGAGGGUGAGAAUCCCGUAUGCGGCCAGGUGCCUACGCUCAUGUGAAGCUCCUUCGACGAGUCGAGUUGUUUGGGAAUGCAGCUCAAAAUGGGUGGUAAAUUUCAUCUAAAGCUAAAUAUUGGCCAGAGACCGAUAGCGCACAAGUAGAGUGAUCGAAAGAUGAAAAGCACUUUGGAAAGAGAGUUAAACAGUACGUGAAAUUGUUGAAAGGGAAGCGCUUGCAACCAGACUUGCGCGCGGCCGAUCAUCCGGUGUUCUCACCGGUGCACUCGGCCGUGCUCAGGCCAGCAUCGGUUUUGGCGGCUGGAUAAAGGCCCUAGGAAUGUAGCUCCUCUCGGGGAGUGUUAUAGCCUAGGGUGCAAUGCAGCCUGCUGGGACCGAGGACCGCGCUUCGGCUAGGAUGCUGGCGUAAUGGUUGUAAGCGGCCCGUCUUGAAACACGGACCAAGGAGUCUAACAUCUAUGCGAGUGUUUGGGUGUCAAACCCAUACGCGUAAUGAAAGUGAACGGAGGUGAGAACCCUUAAGGGUGCAUCAUCGACCGGUCCUGAAGUUUACGGAAGGAUCUGAGUAAGAGCAUAGCUGUUGGGACCCGAAAGAUGGUGAACUAUGCCUGAAUAGGGUGAAGCCAGAGGAAACUCUGGUGGAGGCUCGCAGCGGUUCUGACGU